GAUGAAGAACGUAGCGAAGUGCGAUAAGUAAUGUGAAUUGCAGGAUUCCGUGAAUCAUCGAAUCUUUGAACGCAAAUUGCACUUUCUGGUAUUCCGGAGAGUAUGCCUGUUUGAGGGUCAGUGUAAUAAAUAAAUCGUGGUUGUUACCACCUUUCGUGGUGACGCUUCGGAAUUGAGUCGUCUUACCUUCGGUUAAGUGACUUAAAAUUUUUUCAUACGAUUUCGAAACGUAUUUAAUGUAUUAUGUACGUUCACGAAUAUCGAAUGUUUAUUAGGUGCGGUCAUUUUUCAUGAAUUCGCGUCUAUAAUUUUUUUUUUUUGACCUCAAAUCAGGUAAGAAUACCCGCUGAACUUAAGCAUAUCAAUAAGCGGAGGA
rnacentral:misc_RNA from 1 species